rnacentral:lncRNA from 10 species
CGCACAGUCAGGGGGGCCACUGUGCAGGCGGCUGCCUCGCCCCAUGCCAGAGAAGCUGCCCCAGCCCCACUGACUGCAGAAGGGGGCCAGCCUGCGGGGGCUCUCACAGGGGCCGGGUGCAGCCAGCACAUCCCAUGGCCAGGCCCCCUGGGAUUUAUGGAUUCAUGCCCCUGCUUCUCUGGACCUCAGCCUGGCCUCGUGGCCACUUGCCGGGCUAUUCCCCGCGGGGGGUUGUCUCUUCCCGCUCCAUGGCUUCACUCCAAAAUCGCAGGAUCAUUCCAGACCAGGCCCCGCACCUCAGCCAGUCUUCCCCUUCCAGACCCCGCAGGACUGCUCUAGCCCAGGUCUCUGCAGCCCUACCUAAUGUGGCCAGACGACCCACAUGCUUCCACGUCCCCUGGACGCCCUAAACCGCAGACUCAGCUCCCUGGGCUGACCUCCUCCUCCACUGGGUGCAAAGACCAAGAGCUGGGAGCUCAGGAAGCAUGUUCCAGGCUGGCUGGGGCUACGUGGGGGCUUUACCGGGCCCAGGCGAGGGAGGGGCAGCACAUGAGGAGGUCAGCGUUCACCCCCCAGCACCACCUUCUCCAGCCAUUGAAAGAGGACCCUGGCCAAAAGAAACCAAGACUUUGGCUAAGAGUUCCACCUUCCAGCCCCACUCUGCUCUCCAGCCCCCGCGGGGCACUGUCCAUCUGUGACAGUCCAUGAGCUCUUCCCGGCUCCGCCAGGAGAUGCAGGUCACCAGGGCUCCAGUGCCCCGGCUCCCUCAACACCACGGAGAUCCGAGGCCUCCAGCCGAGCAAGAGCGGGGCAUCAGGGUGACUGUGGGGAGAAGCUCCCGUCCACCUGCCCGGUACUAGCUGUGGGACCCAGCAGGCUGAGGACCCCCUUGUUCCCCAGCCGUGCCCUGGAAUAAUGAGGACACUGGUUCCAAAGUGCUGCUGUGAGGCGAAGGUGUCAAUGCCUGUAAAGCAUUCCAAGCGGAUGCAGCUAUGCCGUCGGGGACUGGCUUCCUCAGUGCCAGGGGAAGCUCUGCCACGUGGCUGCAGUGGGGA